AUUGAACGCUGGCGGCAGGCCUAACACAUGCAAGUCGAGCGGCGCGGCAGACGGGUGAGUAAUGCCUAGGACUAUGACUGGUAGUGGGGGAUAACGUCCGGAAACGGGCGCUGCUACAGCAUCCUAUAACCAUCACAUAGGUCUGAUUGGCUAGUGGGUGGGGUAAGGGCCUACCAUGGCGACGAUCCGUAACUGGUCUGAGAGGAUGAUCAGUCACACUGUAACUGAGACACGGUCCAGACUCCUACGGGAGGCAGCAGUGGGGAAUAUUGGACAAUGGGCGAAAGCCUGAUCCAGCCAUGCCGCGUGUGUGAAGAAGGGCUUCGGAGUGUAAAGUACUUUAAGUGGGGAGGCGUUACCAACAGAAUAAGCACCGGCUAACUUCGUGCCAGCAGCCGCGGUAAUAC
rnacentral:rRNA from 1 species